CCUCCACUUGGGGACAGCUGUGACGAUAGAACCCUACCUUGAGUCCAGUGUGAGCGGCAGCCGGGGUGAUUGAAUUCAUGGCAAGGGCGAUGGUUACGAAGAUCGCCAGUAACGCCGGUGAGGGCCACCUCCCCAUCGUACUGGAACUGGGCAAGUCGCAAGUUUGAGUACGAAGAUGCAGGGAAAGAAGAUGAGAGUCGCCUUGGCUGAUGAAGCUUUGCGCGUCCGGAUACGAGUGGCACUGCACAAGACCGCAACGACACGAGGAAGACUGGGAGUGUCCUAUAUCCGAGUUGACGUCGAGAACAGUACGGGCCGUCGAACGUGUACGGACCACAGAAACCCCUCGUGGCGUUCCAAGACUUUUCGGAGUGGGCUCAAGUCUGAAGAGGGGACAGUAUUGACCGUGGGACGGAGAGAGCCGGUCGCCAGCACAACAUCAGCGCACAUGCUUACAAAUCUAACCCACGCAAGAUGGAGGCUCUAGCGAAACGAAACAGUUGACAACAGCAGCUGGACUUGGGCAAUAUGGCGGGACCGGUCACCAUGGAUGAGUGAUCGAGCCUGGUAUUGGAGUUGGGUGACCUUGCAACAUCCGCCCCUGGAAGUGAGCAGUGAUUCGGUCUCCGUGCAGCUGGCAACUGUUGACUCACCAACCGGUACCCGUCAUCCUUGGCGGCCGAAUUGUCUGUUCAUAUUUGUGGGUAUUAUUUUUUGAAGGUUGCUUCUAUUCUUUGUAGUGUGUUUCCAAUUCCCCAAGUUCAUUCAAAUACGGUUGAGAUAGAUCCUGUGAAGCAAGGGUGGGGAAGCGUGAUGUUUCCGGGAAACUUUGUUGAUGUAAUCCGUGGUGCUUCCCGCAUGGAUCCCAUCGUGCUUUGUUGAGCAUGACGUUCACUUUGUUGCACUUUAUGAGUGCGGUGGAUUUCCCCCAGCAGUUGAGUUCAGUUAUUCUAUUCCUCGAUUCGAUUCUAUCAUGCACGUGAGAUACGUAUGGAAAUUCAUGAAAGUAGCGUUACCAGGUGGCGUGUAUGUGUCCUGGUCAAAACAUGCGCGUGUUGUAGUGAAAUGGAGUUUGAAGUUUUUGAGCUUACAAGGAUAUUUGCAUAUAUUUUGUAAUGCACGUGAGGUAAUCAACCCUGAAAGCUGUACCAGAAAAACAUUACUACUGAUCAUUUGUGUGUUUAUAUUGAGGCUUUUGAUUUCAAGAAGGGAUGGAUGUGAUAUGCACUUGAGGAUUAUUUCAAAUAUAUAAAUUUUGUUGUAGUAAGCAAUAAAAAGCAACAUUCAUAAAAACUCUUACAUUGCAAACAUGGAGGUAUGUAAAUCGAUGUUUUUGUACAAAUGUGUUGGCUUUGAAAGAAGAAAAAUUUGUGCAAAUGUUUCUAAUUCUAUUUGGUAUUUUCUUUAUCAGUGCAGAGGUUUUCACUUAGCACAGUGGAGUUUAGUGUGCUCCAAUCUUCAAUUCGAUCACAGCAUGCACGGAAGUUCUACGAGAUCAUUCAAAUACGGUUGAGAUGGAUACUGUGAAGCAGGGGUGGAGAAGCAUAAUGAUUCCGGGAAACUUUGUUGGUGUAAUCCGUGCAGCAUCACGCAUUGAUCUUAUCGUGCCUUAUUGAGCAUGAUAUUCACUUUGCUGCACUUUAUCAGUGUAGAGGAUUUCACCCAGCAGUCAAAUUUAGUUCACUUUGUUAAGUUUAGCACGAUUUUUUGAAUGGAUUCUUGCAUGCAUGUAAGUUGUGGAUUGCAAAUCACACAAGCAGUGUAACCAAGACGCUUGUAUGUGUCAUGUCAAAUCAUGAGCGUGACUCUUAUCGUUAGAGCUUGUGCUUC